CAGGUGGAAAGAAUGAAUCAGACUUUAAAAGCAAUGAUGACUAAAAUGGCUCUGGAAACUGGUGAAAACUGGUCUCUCCAGGUUCUCCAGCCCAUCCUGGCCUCCAUCCAUCAGCUAUUCAAGCAACAGCAUCCUCCGCCCCCUGCCUCCACCCAGGACGACCUCUUGACUGUGCAACCCGGGGAACUGGUGCUCAUCAAAAGGCACCACCGAGAAUCUCUUGAGCCACACUGGGAAGGUCCCUUCACGGUGGUCUUCAGUACUCUGACAGCGGUCAUGGUCACCAGAAAGACUGCUUGGAUUCAUCAUUCUCACAUCAAACCAGUCCCGGCCCUGGACAAAGACCAAACUUCAGAUAAGUGGACUGUGACCUCCUCUUCUGGAGACCCUUUAAAGCCUAAAUUAACCAAAUGUACUUGAUUGUUCUGAUCUUAUGCAUCCUCCCUCGUGGGGACACAAGUAAACUGUACCAUGCCCCAAUACAUGGGACUUGGAAAUUAACUGAUUACAA